CAUAACCUUUGGAGUAUGUUCAUCAUUCUGUAUCUUUAGAGCUGUUCAUCCUUCGUUUUGUUGCUAACAUGUGAUGCGAAUGAGAAUUGUGGGAAUGUCCAGUGGAUUUGAAGCCUGUUAUUGAUGUGUUGGAACUCUAAUUCGUGGUUUUACAAGAUGGGAAAUAUGGACAAUGCAGCAGAGGCUCUGGAAAGUAUGAUUAGAUUUGGAUGAGUUCCAGUAUCCAAUUUAAGUGGCUUAAUCAAUGAAAGCCAAAGUGUUGCAAACUCUGAGAAAUCUGUUAAUAUCUCGAAGCAAGAAAUAUCCGGAGUUGCUUGUCAGGCAGAAGCUUAGAGAACUGGAACUUCUGCUCCCAGUGUUUCCUGUCUAUGGCUUCAUGGUUGCAAAUUCAGGUUCUGGCCUUAGCAGGGUGCUAAAGUGAAUUAACCCUAAAUUGGGUAUAGCAGAUUGAGGUGACAGCUCUCAGUAGCAACAAUGUCCAGCUUCUUUUUUUGUUAACCAGUUAUUGUGGAUUCUUCCAACCAAAGAUGUGGAAUCAACACUUAGAAAGGCUGAAAGAUGAAAAAUGAAAAUUUGGUGCAGUAGGCUGUUGCCAGUGACAAUGCUGAAUAAUAAGUAUGGUGAUUUUGAGUGAGAAGGUUGACUGAUGGUGCCAGCCAAAAUCAAGGGCUGAAUAAUAUGUGGCUGGAGAAGUUGCUAGCAAUACUUGUAAGAGUACCGGCCAAAAUCAAGGGCUGGUUUUCCUUCCUUUUAGUAAGAAAACCUCAUUGAACAUGCAUGCUGGUCGUUUUGACCAUGAGAGACAACUGAAAUUGCUACUGAUUAUUCUUUGUUAUGUAGAUUUUUCUUGUAACUACGGCUGCUAUGAAGUGGCAUACUCUUGUUCUCUUUCAUUUUAUGUUCUGAAUUCAGCCGGUGUUAUGCUGGUCAUUUUAACCGUAAGAGAACUGAAGUUACUAUUGAUUAUUCUUAGUUAUGUGGUUUUUUCUCGCAACUAUGGCUGAUAUGAUGUGGCAUACUUUCGUUCUCUUUCAUUUUAUGUACUGAAUUGAGCUGGUUUUUCCUUCCUUUUAGUGAAAAAACCUUAUUGAACAUGUAUGUUGGUCAUUUUAACUAUGAGAGAGAACAGAAAUUACUAUUGAUUAUUCUUUAUUAUGUAGUUUUUUCUUGUAACUAUUGCUGCUAUGAAGUGGCAUACUGCUGUUCUCUUUCAUUUUAUGUACUGAAUCUAUCACUCUGCAGGGGUGGCGGUAUCUCAUGUAACCACUGCAUGCAAUAGCCCUUUAGGGCAGGAGCUGAUGUUCUCUACAUUCAAGGCUAGUGGAAUAUUUUUUGUUCCAGCUCAGCACUCUCAUGGUGUCCAUUUCUUUUAAACCUUUCCUUUUUCUUUGGCGGGAUAAAACUUGUCUUUCUUUGUUGGAUGAAUUGGAAUCACUAAAAAGAUUAGGCACAAUACAAUGCUCCUAGUUCAUAUUUUGUAAGUGAAAUGAUUAAAACAGUAGAGAAACUCGUUUUUAUAUUGUGGGUAAUAGCUUUCUUUUCGUCUUUUUUUUUGUGUGUGUGUGUACAUUCUAAGUUUGAAGAAUAUCCUCUUGAUUCUUGAGUCCUUGCACACUUGCACAGUGGUAUAUCUGCAAGA